CCCCUGGUGGUCUAGCGGUUAGAGCUCAGCGCUUUCACUGCUGUGGCUCAGGUUCAAUCCCUGGUCUGGGAA
rnacentral:tRNA from 1 species